rnacentral:rRNA from 1 species
AUUGAACGCUGGCGGCAGGCCUAACACAUGCAAGUCGAACGGGUGGCGGACGGGUGAGUAAUGGCGGGGAAAGUGCCUGAUGGAGGGGGAUAACUACUGGAAAAGGUGGCUAAUACCGCAUACGAUCAGAUGGGCCCAGGUGGGAUUAGCUUGUUGGUGGGGUAACGGCUAACCAAGGCGACGAUCCCUAGCUGGUCUGAGAGGAUGAGCGGCCACACUGGAACUGAGACACGGUCCAGACUCCUACGGGAGGCAGCAGUGGGGAAUAUUGCACAAUGGGCGCAAGCCUGACGCAGCAACGCCGCGUGUAUGAAGAAGGCUUUCGGGUUGUAAAGCACUGUCAGUGGGGAGGCGGUAUCCGCAGAAGAAGCCCCGGCUAACUACGUGCCAGCCGCCGCGGUAAUUC